GAUGAACGCUGGCGGCGUGCCUAAUACAUGCAAGUCGAGCGAACAGAUGAGGAGCUUGCUCCUCUGACGUUAGCGGCGGACGGGUGAGUAACACGUGGAUAACCUACCUAUAAGACUGGGAUAACUUCGGGAAACCGGAGCUAAUACCGGAUAAUAUAUUGAACCGCAUGGUUCAAUAGUGAAAUACGGUUUUGCUGUCACUUAUAUAUGGAUCCGCGCCGCAUUAGCUAGUUGGUAAGGUAACGGCUUACCAAGGCAACGAUGCGUAGCCGACCUGAGAGGGUGAUCGGCCACAGUGGAACUGAGACACGGUCCAGACUCCUACGGGAGGCAGCAGUAGGGAAUCUUCCGCAAUGGGCGAAAGCCUGACGGAGCAACGCCGCGUGAGUGAUGAAGGUCUUCGGAUCGUAAAACUCUGUUAUUAGGGAAGAACAAAUGUGUAAGUAACUAUGCACGUCUUGACGGUACCUAAUCAGAAAGCCACGGCUAACUACGUG
rnacentral:rRNA from 1 species